rnacentral:rRNA from 1 species
CUACAUAUCAAUAAGCGGAGGAAAAGAAACCAACAGGGAUUGCCCUAGUAACGGCGAGUGAAGCGGCAACAGCUCAAAUUUGAAAUCUGGCGUAAGCCCGAGUUGUAAUUUGUAGAGGAUGCUUCUGGGUAGCGGCCGGUCUAAGUUCCUUGGAACAGGACGUCAUAGAGGGUGAGAAUCCCGUAUGUGACUGGCUUGCACCCUCCACGUAGCUCCUUCGACGAGUCGAGUUGUUUGGGAAUGCAGCUCUAAAUGGGAGGUAAAUUUCUUCUAAAGCUAAAUACCGGCCAGAGACCGAUAGCGCACAAGUAGAGUGAUCGAAAGAUGAAAAGCACUUUGGAAAGAGAGUUAAAAAGCACGUGAAAUUGUUGAAAGGGAAGCGCCCGCAACCAGACUUUGCGGCGGUGUUCGGCUGGUCUUCUGACCGGUUUACUCGCCGCCGUGAGGCCAUCAUCGUCUGGGACCGCUGGAUAAGACCUGAGGAAUGUAGCUCCCUUCGGGGUGUGUUAUAGCCUCUGGUGAUGCAGCGCGUCUCGGGCGAGGUCCGCGCUUCGGCAAGGAUGAUGGCGUAAUGGUUGUCGGCGGCCCGUCUUGAAACACGGACCAAGGAGUCUAACAUCUAUGCGAGUGUUCGGGUGUCAAACCCCUACGCGUAAUGAAAGUGAACGGAGGUGGGAACUUUUUGUGCACCAUCGACCGAUCCUGAUGUCCUCGGAUGGAUUUGAGUAAGAGCAUAGCUGUUGGGACCCGAAAGAUGGUGAACUAUGCCUGAAUAGGGUGAAGCCAGAGGAAACUCUGGUGGAGGCUCGCAGCGGUUCUGACGUGCAAAUCGAUCGUCAAAUUUGGGUAUAGGGGCGAAAGACUAAUCGA